UGCACUUAAUUGGCAGACCUAGAGCAGUUCUCUGCUAUUAAGGUUUCCACUCCAAGUGGAAGAAAAACAGCUCAUGAUUUGUGGUUGUGGCAUCCAGAAUUAAAUAGAGAAAUGCAUAU
rnacentral:snoRNA from 1 species